rnacentral:rRNA from 1 species
CCAUCCAAUCCACCCAGAAUAAAUCCGGUAAGACAGCCAAUACGAAAUGCUCGAAAAACGGCCGCGCUUAAAGGAUGCCCUCAGCGUCGAGGAACAUGUGCUAGGGUGUAUGUGCGACUCGUUCAGAUCAUGACUUCAAACAAAUAUAAAAAACCAAUGACUCUCGCCAUAUGA